CGCGUAGGCGGUUCGACAAGUUGGAUGUGAAAGCCCAGGGCUCAACCCUGGAAUUGCAUUCAAAACUGUCUUACUUGAAUUCGGUAGAGGUUGGUGGAAUUCCCAGUGUAGAGGUGAAACUCGUAGAUAUUGGGAAGAAUAUCCGUGGCGAAGGCGGCCAACUGGACCGACAUUGACGCUGAGGCGCGAAAGCGUGGGGAGCAAACA
rnacentral:rRNA from 1 species